rnacentral:rRNA from 1 species
AUACGGAGGAUCCGAGCGUUAUCCGGAUUUAUUGGGUUUAAAGGGUGCACAGGCGGCCAUUUAAGUCAGCGGUUAAAUCGUGGGGCUCAACCCCAUUCUGCCGUUGAUACUGGGUGGCUUGAUUGCGGACGAGGUUGGCGGAAUUCGUUGUGUAACGGUGUAAUGCAUGCAUAUGAGGAAGAAAACCGAUUGCGUAGGCUGCUGACCGAUACGGAGAAGUCGCUGAUGCGCGAAAGCGCGCGGAUCGAAAUGGUUUAGAUACACUGGUGGUGCGCAGAGUAGACGAUUAAUUCUUGUUUUCGGCGACAUAAUGUCGUAGGUUAAGCGAAAGCGAUUAGUUAUCCAGCUGGGGAGUGCGCUGGAACCGCUGAGACUUAGAUAAAUUCGCGGGG